rnacentral:snRNA from 1 species
UUCUUGUGAUAUACUCUUGUGU